AAGCAGCUUGCUGCUUUGCUGACGAGUGGCGGACGGGUGAGUAAUGUCUGGGAAACUGCCUGAUGGAGGGGGAUAACUACUGGAAACGGUAGCUAAUACCGCAUAACGUCGCAAGACCAAAGAGGGGGACCUUAGGGCCUCUUGCCAUCGGAUGUGCCCAGAUGGGAUUAGCUAGUAGGUGGGGUAACGGCUCACCUAGGCGACGAUCCCUAGCUGGUCUGAGAGGAUGACCAGCCACACUGGAACUGAGACACGGUCCAGACUCCUACGGGAGGCAGCAGUGGGGAAUAUUGCACAAUGGGCGCAAGCCUGAUGCAGCCAUGCCGCGUGUAUGAAGAAGGCCUUCGGGUUGUAAAGUACUUUCAGCGGGGAGGAAGGGAGUAAAGUUAAUACCUUUGCUCAUUGACGUUACCCGCAGAAGAAGCACCGGCUAACUCCGUGCCAGCAGCCGCGGUAAUACGGAGGGUGCAAGCGUUAAUCGGAAUUACUGGGCGUAAAGCGCACGCAGGCGGUUUGUUAAGUCAGAUGUGAAAUCCCCGGGCUCAACCUGGGAACUGCAUCUGAUACUGGCAAGCUUGAGUCUCGUAGAGGGGGGUAGAAUUCCAGGUGUAGCGGUGAAAUGCGUAGAGAUCUGGAGGAAUACCGGUGGCGAAGGCGGCCCCCUGGACGAAGACUGACGCUCAGGUGCGAAAGCGUGGGGAGCAAACAGGAUUAGAUACCCUGGUAGUCCACGCCGUAAACGAUGUCGACUUGGAGGUUGUGCCCUUGAGGCGUGGCUUCCGGAGCUAACGCGUUAAGUCGACCGCCUGGGGAGUACGGCCGCAAGGUUAAAACUCAAAUGAAUUGACGGGGGCCCGCACAAGCGGUGGAGCAUGUGGUUUAAUUCGAUGCAACGCGAAGAACCUUACCUGGUCUUGACAUCCACGGAAGUUUUCAGAGAUGAGAAUGUGCCUUCGGGAACCGUGAGACAGGUGCUGCAUGGCUGUCGUCAGCUCGUGUUGUGAAAUGUUGGGUUAAGUCCCGCAACGAGCGCAACCCUUAUCCUUUGUUGCCAGCGGUCCGGCCGGGAACUCAAAGGAGACUGCCAGUGAUAAACUGGAGGAAGGUGGGGAUGACGUCAAGUCAUCAUGGCCCUUACGACCAGGGCUACACACGUGCUACAAUGGCGCAUACAAAGAGAAGCGACCUCGCGAGAGCAAGCGGACCUCAUAAAGUGCGUCGUAGUCCGGAUUGGAGUCUGCAACUCGACUCCAUGAAGUCGGAAUCGCUAGUAAUCGUGGAUCAGAAUGCCACGGUGAAUACGUUCCCGGGCCUUGUACACACCGCCCGUCACACCAUGGGAGUGGGUUGCAAAAGAAGUAGGUAGCUUAACCUUCGGGAGGGCGCUUACCACUUUGUGAUUCAUGACUGGGGUGAAGUCGUAACAAGGUAACCGUAGGGGAACCUGCGGUUGGAUCACCUCCUUACCUUAAAGAAGC
rnacentral:rRNA from 1 species